UACGUAGGCAGCAAGCGUUGUUCGGAGUUACUGGGCGUAAAGGGCGCGUAGGCGGUUGUUUAAGUUUGGUGUGAAAUCUCCCGGCUCAACUGGGAGGGUGCGCCGAAUACUGAAUGACUAGAGUGCGGGAGAGGAGAGUGGAAUUCCUGGUGUAAGCGGUGAAUGCGUAGAUAUCAGGAGGAACACCGGUGGUGUAGACGGCUCUCUGGACCGUAACUGACGCUGAGGCACGAAAGCGUGGGUAGCAAACAGG
rnacentral:rRNA from 1 species